UGAGAAUUAGUUAAACAUAUAACAUAAGUUUGUCAUACUUAAAUUAUCUAAUUAAGAUAUUUUCAA
rnacentral:tRNA from 1 species